UUUAAAUAUUUUUGUUCUAAUUUUAAGUAAAAUUACUGUAAUUCACUGUAGAAAUAACCCUACAUCAUUCAUAAGUAUUGGCAGGCAUCACAAAAUUUAAAAAACUAAGGAUAGAUUAUUUAAGUUGUUAGUGAACAUUGAUCAUACUACAACUAAAAGAAAAGUUAAAUUCAUAUUGCCAUUAUUGGUUAUAGUCAUCAAAGAAAAAAAAAAAGCACAUUGGUAUGAGACAGCAUCCUUCACAGGUUACCUGUGAACAUUAUCCCUUCACAAAUUUCUAACAUCUUUGGCUUGCUUGACUUCUAUAGACCACCUCAGGAAGAGUGGAGACAGUUUCUACUCAAAAGAUAGGAUCCCUGAAUUCAUGUUUUCCCCCAACUCACCACCACUCUGACCACAUUAUCUUUUUCUGUUGAACUUUUCAUAUGCC
rnacentral:lncRNA from 1 species